UGACCUGGGCCCUGUUUGGUUCUAUGGGCUAAUGUUUAGCCUUCACCUUUUAGUUUCAAAUUAGCCCUCAAGAAUCUAAACAGGUAGGCU
rnacentral:misc_RNA from 1 species